rnacentral:rRNA from 1 species
CCAAUAGCGUAUAUUAAAGUUGUUGCAGUUAAAAAGCUCGUAGUUGAACUUCGGGGUUCACCCAUUGGUCAGGCUUAAUUGUCUGCACUGGUGAGAUGAGUCUCUACCUUCUGAGGAACUUUCAUGCCAUUUAUUUGGUGUGAUUGGAAAUCAGGACUGUUACUUUGAAAAAAUUAGAGUGUUUAAAGCAGGCUAACGUCUGAAUACAUUAGCAUGGAAUAAUGAAAUAGGACGGACUGAUUCUAUUUCGUUGGUUUCUAGGAUCACCGUAAUGAUUAAUAGGGAUAGUUGGGGGCAUUAGUAUUCAAUUGUCAGAGGUGAAAUUCUUGGAUUUAUUGAAGACUAACUACUGCGAAAGCAUUUGCCAAGGAUGUUUUCAUUAAUCAAGAACGAAAGUUAGGGGAUCGAAGACGAUCAGAUACCGUCGUAGUCUUAACCAUAAACUAUGCCGACUAGGGAUCGGAUGAUGUUAAUUUUUUAAUGACUCAUUCGGCGCCUUACG